rnacentral:rRNA from 1 species
AGAAAAUAGAUACGGGUAGUCCGCACUGUAAACGAUGAUUACUCGCUGCUAGAGGGCAAACCUUUAGUGGCUUAGCGAAAAGCGAUAAGUAAUCCACCUGGGGAGUACGCCGGCAACGGUGAAACUCAAAGGAAUUGACGGGGGCCCGCACAAGCGGAGGAGCAUGUGGUUUAAUUCGAUGAUACGCGAGGAACCUUACCAGGGCUUGAAAGUUAGUGACCGACUCUGAAAGGAGUCUUCCCGCAAGGGCACAAAACUAGGUGCUGCAUGGCUGUCGUCAGCUCGUGCCGUGAGGUGUUGGG